GAAUAUACAGCCAAAUCGACCUCAGCAUACAGCUGCUACACUGGACUAUCAGAAGCUUUUAGAAGUACAUCCUUCAAAGAAAUAAAUAUGUAUGAGGGAGGAUAUUACUGACCAGGAUAAGGAUAAAGUAGAUGCAGUCAGCUCACAGCAGGGCAGGACGCCCAACUACACUCGAUCAACAGGAAAGACGUCAGAUGCCGGCACUCAGACUACGCAGCGAGACUGUCCACAUUUGAAAAAGCCUCUAAGGUUCUAGUCAACUGAAAUAAACUAG